CACCACUGGAGGGGAGGUGGAACAAGCUCUCCUACUUUGGGAUGUUAGCCCGGGUCUACUCAGAGACCAGCUGCACAGCAACACAGGAAACUGCUCUGAUAGUACAGCUAAACCAACCCUAUUCCCCAAGGAAGCCACAGCCAAGUCCCCAAAUGCAGAGAUCCCAAGAGCCAGGGCAGUAGGAACUGCCUAUCUUGCAUUCCUACCUACACAACACAAACCUGAACUACCACGGCCCCAAAUUCUCCAGCCACAGCGAGGCCUCAGAAGACAAUGAAGACAAUCACCGCACUUGAAGCAGAAACUUGGCUGUGCAGCAUUUCCAGCUUUACUUAAUACUCAGCACAGGUGGGAAUAACGGAGCACGUCGGAUGGCAAAGCUCAGGAGGAGACAAAGAGACUUUGGAACACAGCACAAUGCACACAGAGGAACAUCCUUCGGAGAACUGAUGGGCUCAAUCUGGAUAUAAAGCCUCACUGUCCUAGUGACUCCUUGAUAAAUAAGAAAAUGUCAUGCUUUUAUUUUAUAAAGGUGAAGUUCAGAGCAAGACAGUUCGUACCCCAGCUGCAAUUUUCCUAAGUUCAGGACCAGUUUGGUUAAGGAUAUCUCUGUUUCUGCAUGUCUUUGAUUGGCACAAAGGAGGAGAAAGAAGACCCCACUGCCCCCAUGCUCUGGCACUGCAGGACCUGUGUGCAUACAAGUGAAGGAAACCUGCAGGCAGAUCCACUGGUGAAUCAAGACAAA